GUUUUUCCCCCCUCUUUACUUUCCCUGUUUUGCUUGGUGAUGUUCUAAAAGUUCCUCGGGUCUUUCUACACUAUUUCUCCUCAGAGCAACUCCUGUUAACAUCUCUUUGAAUUACUAAUUCUUUUGUUAAAUUGUGUGUGUGUGUGUGUGUGUGUGUUUGUGUGUGUGUGUGUGUAUGUGUGUGUGUGUGUGUUUGUGUGUGUGUGUGUUUGUGUGUGUGUUUUUGUGUGUGUGUGUGUGUAUGUGUGUGUGUGUGUGUUUGUGUGUGUGUUUUGUGUGUGUGUGUGUAUGUGUGUGUGUGUGAAUGCCAUGUCUGUGCAGGUGCCUGCAGAGGCUAGAAAAGCCCGUGGAGCUAGAGUUACAGAUGGUCCUGAAUAGCAGCCGUGGAAGCUCAGAACCAGACUCUUGUCUUCUGGAAGAACAGCAAGUGUUCUAACUUGUGGGUCAUCCCUCCAGCUCCAGAAUUGUUGAUUCUUUCUUCUUGGUAAAGCCUGCUAUUGAAUCCCUUUCAUGAAAAUUUCAGUGACCCUGGACUUAAAAGGUUGUCAUCCAUUCUACAACAGAGUAUUAGUGAUAUUUGAAGAGCAUAACUCUGACACUUGACAUUAAAUAUGAGAAGUAUUGAGGCCGAACACAAAGGAACAGGUGAUGUGACACAAUGGUGAUAUAACAAAUAGAGACACUUAAAAAUUAUGUAUGUGGAUGUUUCGCCUGCAUGGACGAGUAUGUGCCACAUGCCUGAUGCUCAUAGAGGCCAGAAGAGGGCAAUGGAUCCCCUGAAGCUGAAAUUGUGAGCUGCCCUGUGGAUGCAGAAAAUCAAACCCGGGUCCUCUGGGAGAGCAGCAAGCACUUUUAACUUCAGAACCAUCAUCUCUCCUGCCCCCGAGACACUUCUGGAAAGACCUCUACUUCCACGUUACAUGGGAAUAAUGAAUAGAGGGCAGGAGACAGAUAAGUCUGAAGGAAUCUGUUGCCUUGGAGACUGGACAGCCCUCUGCUCGUGACGGCAGUACUCAACAGUGGUGAUGAUAUAUCUGUAUCCCGAAGAUUCUAGAUUCAUUUUCUGUAUUAGCCAUUUCAGGUUGCACUGACACCCACCCAGUGGAUUUGGACUUUACGAACAUCGUAUCUUGGUUUUAUGGUCCAGGAUAUGAAAUAUUCCUCAUAAGCUCCUGUACGUCCAUGUUGGGCCCCGAGCGCUGGUGCUGCUUUGGAAGGUUGAAGAACCGGCAGGAGGCGGAGCCUAACUAGAGGAAGUGGGUCUCUGGGUGCAGGCCUUUAAAAGGUGUCGUUCUGUAGCCAGGUCCCUCUUCUUGUCUAUUCUCUGCUUCCUGUUCCUCCAAGAUAUGAGACAGUGAGGAGUUCCGGCAGCAUGUCCUGCGAUGUCUUCCCUACCACCAUGGACCAUAUCCCCAAACUGGAGCCAAAAUAAACACUCUCCCCCUUAGUUCACUUUUGUAGAGAUUGUGUCAGAGCAAAAUACCAAGUAAGGAUCAACUCAUCAUAAUUGAAAUGUUGGGUUGAAUAACGAACACCAAAUAUGUAGAUAGUCUCACUUGGCGAAAAACAUCUUUGCAUAUGUCAUAAAAAUGUUCCGAUAAUUAAUGAUUUUAAAAUUUAAAAACCAUCACAGAUUAGCUGAGUGGAUCCUAACCACCAUCUCAGUCUUUAUAAGUGAGAGGCAAAGAGACAGACAGACAGUGCAGCAGACCAUUUGUAGACAGACCAGUAACUGGAUGGACAGUGCCACAAACCUAAGGAAGGGGCCGGGUGGGAACAUCAGCGGCAGGUUGGAUCUCCGUCAGUGAACUUCAAGAGCAGCUCUUCUGGACUCCUGGCUACUCAGUCUCUGUCCAUCUUGAGGUCCUGGAGUGUCCUGUGAGUUCAUGUGGCCUCAGCUGUGGGGUUAAGAGUGAUUGGUUUCACUUGGUACAGAUGUGAAACAGAAACACGAGAGCCUUGCUCCCAGAUCACUCCCCGGGGGAAGUUUCACUCGUGUUGGGGGAAGGAGGGGACCAGUCUACGGAGGAGAGACAUAAAAGCAGUUCGGGUCCCGCUGUUAGUGACAGACCACCGAAAGACAAGACGGUACAUCAGUGGUGGGACUCUCCUUGAACUCCCUUCACAUGUGGCCUAAAGUCUGUAUUAGAAUAAGGGUACAGGUUUUUAAAGAGCUGGCCAUAGAUACAUGGACUGAGGUGUGUAAAGCACAAAUACUUUGAGAGUUAUCAAUUAUAAAAUCAAAAUAAAUACAAAAGUGAGGUUUUAAAAGAAUUUUUCCUUUAAAAAUUUUCUUCAACAUUUUUUUAGGAAAAGAAACUAUCACAAAAUACAGUUUUUAAAAAGUUGGUUGAUAUACAUUUUGAUAUAUAAUUGAUGUAUAUUUUAUAUGUUGAUAUGUUUGAGAUUGUCAUAUAAUUGACACGCUGACAUAUUUGAUAUAUGACAAAAUCAAGAGAACAUGAGAGUCUUUUCAAGCAGACACCCUUCUGCGUGUAUUUUACUACAUUUUCUUGGCUACAUUUCAUGGGUGGAUUUAUGGUCAUUCCAGGGUCACAUCCAUCAUGGGUGACAAUCUCUGCCAAUUUCAAUGACCUCAUGGCUAGAAAGAGUCAUUUCCACGUCAGGCAAGCUAUCAAUAAUAUAAUGAACCGACUCUAACAGGAGCCACAGAAGCAUAGCCCAUCUAUUCUUAUGCAAAUAUAAUCCCACCCACUUAUUCUUAUGCAAAUGUGAUCCCACCUUGCGUCUCUGUUAGCUGGAUCAUCAACAUCCUAGUGCUCUUCUCACAUCACAGAGGUGUCAUGUAGGGAAACAAAAGUGACAAGAGCUGAGGAUUUUGCAUGGUUUCAGUUACAACAGCUGACUUCUGCGGAUGCCACAACCCCAUGCCUGGUGUGAUGCAUCCUGUAAUUCCUUGAAAGGGGCCAGUGGAGGUCCGGGGCACUGUGGCUGGUGCUUCCCUGUCUUCGUAGGGAAUCCUUCUCUAUAUCCGCACAACUCAUCAACUGAGCCUGUAAGGUGUGACCCAGACAGACUCCCUGCACACAGAAUUCUCCUCCACAGUUGGUGGAGACCCAAGAACGGCCGAUUCUUACUUCAUGCAGUCUUUCCGCAAAGUACCAUAAGAUGCUAAAGGAGUAUGAUAGUUCAUAUAUACCCUUAUCUGUUUUAGACUUUGAAAACAGAUAUAAGCAGCACCUGAGACGCUCUGCCCCCUCCCUUUUCUCUCCUCAGUGUCCUCUUUCAAAUUGCUUUCUGGGUUCUAAACUACCCUCCUGUGAAGCCGAUAACAGUACUGUUGGGAGCGUUUCAAAAUGGAAGCAUGUAUGCCCGGAUGCUUCAUGCUCUGAUGAAAUGAAUCUGUCUUCACACUAUUUUUAUCUAAAAGUCUCAAAGCGCUUGGAGCAUGGAUUAUGAAGUGAUGUUUAAACAGAAAAAUGUGCCAUUGGAGAGGACAUUUUGCAUUCCUGGGGACACCCUGCUGAUUACAACCAAGGGAAGAAAAGCUCUGUGCUGUGGCUGAAGACACAGCUGCGGGGCGGAAGAAAUCUUUCUUUUUGUUUUGCUCAUUUUGGCAUUUGGUGGAUUUUUUUUUCAAUGCUGUCUGGAAGCGUGAAUAUAAUAACAAUAUGAAAAUUAAAGUCUUUUAUCCUUGAAUUCUGACAAGUUGCCAGAGCGGUAACAUUACUCAAGCUUGUAAUCACUCAUGCAAAACUCAGAGGUUUUGAAAAACUGAAAAUAAAUCGGAAAACAGUGGAGACGUGCGUAUAAUAUACACCCUACUUAUCUCUAUUGAUUUAUAUUCUGAAACUGAAAUUACACUUGAGGAAUACACUUUUGUGGGGUAUUGUUCUGUCAGUACUCCCUGAAGUGAAGAUACAUAGAAAAAUAAAUAUGAAGGAAACAUUCUCACUUCUUGAGUUAUUUAGGAGUAAUUUUAGGAGUCUUAAUUGGCUCCAUUUUUACUAAUUUGUGAUCAUUGAAUGUGUGUCUGUGCAUGCACAGUUGAGGG
rnacentral:lncRNA from 1 species